UGGGGAAUAUUGGACAAUGGGGGGAACCCUGAUCCAGCCAUGCCGCGUGUGUGAAGAAGGCCUUAUGGUUGUAAAGCACUUUAAGCGAGGAGGAGGGUACUGGUAUUAAUACUACCAGGUACUGGACGUUACUCGCAGAAUAAGCACCGGCUAACUCUGUGCCAGCAGCCGCGGUAAUACAGAGGGUGCGAGCGUUAAUCGGAUUUACUGGGCGUAAAGCGUGCGUAGGCGGCUAAUUGAGUCGGAUGUGAAAUCCCCGAGCUUAACUUGGGAAUUGCAUUCGAUACUGGUUAGCUAGAGUGUGGGAGAGGAUGGUAGAAUUCCAGGUGUAGCGGUGAAAUGCGUAGAGAUCUGGAGGAAUACCGAUGGCGAAGGCAGCCAUCUGGCCUAACACUGACGCUUAGGUACGAAAGCAUGGGGAGCAAACAGG
rnacentral:rRNA from 1 species